UUUCCGUAGGUGAACCUGCGGAAGGAUCAUUAAUGAGUUGUCAUGGGGUUCGAUGCUGGCAGCCAAUUUUUGGAUGCAUGUGCUUGCCCUAACAAUCAUCUUCCAAACACCUGUGCACAUUUUUGAGGGAGUCUUGAGUUGGUUGCCGCUCUUGGGUGAUUUUCUCACAUUCCCUUAAAUCAUUAUACGCUAUUAACAAUGUUGAACGUGCUCUGUGCCGCAAGGCCAUUAAUAUAAUACAACUUUUAACAACGGAUCUCUUGGCUCUC
rnacentral:misc_RNA from 1 species